rnacentral:rRNA from 1 species
UGGGGAAUUUUGGACAAUGGGCGAAAGCCUGAUCCAGCAAUGCCGCGUGUGUGAAGAAGGCCUUCGGGUUGUAAAGCACUUUUGUCCGGAAAGAAAUCCUUGGCUCUAAUACAGUCGGGGGAUGACGGUACCGGAAGAAUAAGCACCGGCUAACUACGUGCCAGCAGCCGCGGUAAUACGUAGGGUGCAAGCGUUAAUCGGAAUUACUGGGCGUAAAGCGUGCGCAGGCGGUUUGCUAAGACCGAUGUGAAAUCCCCGGGCUCAACCUGGGAACUGCAUUGGUGACUGGCAGGCUAGAGUAUGGCAGAGGGGGGUAGAAUUCCACGUGUAGCAGUGAAAUGCGUAGAGAUGUGGAGGAAUACCGAUGGCGAAGGUAGCCCCCUGGGCCAAUACUGACGCUCAUGCACGAAAGCGUGGGGGAGCAAACAGGAUUAGAUACCCUGGUAGUCCACGCCCUAAACGAUGUCAACUGGUUGUUGGGAAGGUUCCUUCUCAGUAACGUAGCUAACGCGUGAAGUUGACCGCCUGGGGAGUACGGCCGCAAGGUUGAAACUUAAAUGAAUUGACGGGGU